AAUCAACGCUGGCGGCGUGCCUAACACAUGCAAGUUGAGCGCUUGAGGGGGCAACCCCAAGAGAGCAGCGAACGGGUGAGUAACGCGUGGGUGAUCUUCCUUCGAGUGGGGAACAACAUCGGGAAACUGGUGCUAAUUCCGCAUAAUACCCUGGGGCUACGAGCCUCAGGAUCAAAGCCGGGGACCGCAAGGCCUGGCGCUUGAAGAUGAGCCCGCGUCCGAUUAGCUAGUUGGCGGGGUAAUGGCCCACCAAGGCUUCGAUCGGUAGCCGGCCUGAGAGGGCGGACGGCCACACUGGAACUGAGACACGGUCCAGACUCCUACGGGAGGCAGCAGUGGGGAAUUUUUCGCAAUGGGCGCAAGCCUGACGAAGCAACGCCGCGUGGAGGAUGAAGGUCUUCGGAUUGUAAACUCCUGUCGACCGGGACGAAUGCACUCGACCUAAUACGUCGGAAUGUUGACGGUACCGGUGGAGGAAGCCACGGCUAACUCUGUGCCAGCAGCCG
rnacentral:rRNA from 1 species